AUAAGAGCUUUUUAGGUAAUUUCCCCAUUCCCAAAAGUCGAGUGUUUUAGGGUUAGGGCUCUUAAUUUUUUGUCUUCCCAAUUUCUCUGAUCUCUUCUAAUUUCAGGCGUUAACAUGUCGACCAAGCAAGGUGGCAAAGCGAAGCCUUUGAAGCAACCUAAAACUGCAAAGAAAGAAUAUGACGAGGUUGAUAUGGCUAACAUUCAGAAAAAGAAGGAAGAAGAAAAGGUGAGGUGUUGGUCUUGUUACACUCAUGGAGGUUCUUAAAGAGCUGAGAGCAAAGGCACAAAAGGGGCCGGUUGGUGGUGCAGGACUUAAGAAGAGCGGGAAGAAAUGAGGAUCUAAAACUCAUCAAAUCACAAACUGCUGUGGAUUCUGUUUGUGAGUAAAACUUCUAUUAUGAUGACAUCUCUUGUUUUAGUUUGAUGGGCUAGGGCAUCAUUUGGAAUGAUCUGAUGCUCUAGUUUCGUAAUUGAAUUUGCUGCAAAACCUUGUGUGAAAGUUCGAUAUUGUAAAACUUAAUAAACUUAAGUUUUAUACCAAUUGUGCUUUUGGGU